rnacentral:rRNA from 1 species
CGGCGCGGUCUACCAUGCAAGUCGAACGGGUAGCACAGAGAGCUUGCUCUCGGGUGACGAGUGGCGGACGGGUGACUAAUGUCUGGGAAACUGCCUGAUGGACCGGGAUAUACUACUGGAAACGGUAGCUAAUACCGCAUAACGUCGCAAGACCAAAGAGGGGGACCUUCGGGCCUCUUGCCAUCAGAUGUGCCCAGAUGGGAUUAGCUAGUAGGUGGGGUAACGGCUCACCCUAGGCGACGAUCCCUAGCUGGUCUGAGAGGAUGACCAGCCACACUGGAACUGAUUACACGGUCCAGACUCCUACGGGAGGCAGCAGUGGGGAAUAUUGCACAAUGGGCGCAAGCCUGAUGUCAGCCAUGCCGCGUGUAUGAAGAAGGCCUUCCGGGUUGUAAAGUACUUCCAGCGGGGAGGAAGGUGUUGUGGUUAAUAACCGCAUCAAUUGACGUUACCCGCAGAAGAAGCACCGGCUAACUCCCCGUGCCAACAGCCGCGGUAAUACGGAGGGUGCAAGCGUUAAUCGGAAUUACUGGGCGUAAAGCGCACGCAGGCGGUCUGUCAAGUCGGAUGUGAAAUCCCGCGGGGCUCAACCUGGGAAACUGCAUUCGAAACUGGCAGGCUAGAGUCUUGUAGAGGGGGGUAGAAUUCCAGGUGUAGCGGUGAAAUGCGUAGAGAUCUGGAGGAAUACCGGUGGCGAAGGCGGCCCCCUGGACAAAGGACUGACGCUCAGGUGCGAAAGCGUGGGGAGCAAACAGGAUUAGAUACCCUGGUAGUCCACGCCGUAAACGAUGUCGACUUGGAGGUUGUGCCCUUGAGGCGUGGCUUCCGGAGCUAACGCGUUAAAUCGACCGCCUGGGGAGUACGGCCCGCAAGGUUAAAAACUCAAAUGAAUUGACGGGGGGGCCCGCACAAGCGGUGGAGCAUGUGGUUUAAUUCGAUGCAACGCGAAGAACCUUACCUGGUCUUGACAUCCAGAGAACUUUCCAGAGAUGGAUUGGUGCCUUCGGGAACUGUGAGACAGGUGCUGCAUGGCUGUCGUCAGCUCGUGUUGUGAAAUGUUGGGUUAAGUCCCGCAACGAGCGCAACCCUUAUCCUUUGUUGCCAGCGGUUAGGCCGGGAACUCAAAGGAGACUGCCAGUGAUAAACUGGAGGAAGGUGGGGAUGACGUCAAGUCAUCAUGGCCCUUACGACCAGGGCUACACACGUGCUACAAUGGCGCAUACAAAGAGAAGCGACCUCGCGAGAGCAAGCGGAUCUCAUAAAGUGCGUCGUAGUCCGGAUUGGAGUCUGCAACUCGACUCCAUGAAGUCGGAAUCGCUAGUAAUCGUAGAUCAGAAUGCUACGGUGAAUACGUUCCCGGGCCUUGUACACACCGCCCGUCACACCAUGGAGUGGGUUGCAAAAGAAGUAGGUAGCUUAACCUUCGGGAGGGCGCUUACCACUUUGUGAUUCAUGACUAUGGGAAGUCGAACAGGUCUCGUGG